rnacentral:rRNA from 1 species
CUUAGAAGCAGCCAUCCUUUAAAGAUAGCGUAACAGCUCACUGGUCAAGCGUUCUUGCGUCGAAAAUGUACCGGGGCUUAAGUCAUUCACCGAAGACGCGGGCGCAUUUAUGCGCGGUAGCGGAGCGUUCCGUAAGCCUGUGAAGGGGUCCUGCGAGGGGCCUUGGAGGUAUCGGAAGUGAGAAUGCUGACAUGAGUAACGAUAAAAGGGGUGAGAGACCCCUUCGCCGAAAGAUCAAGGUUUCCUGCGCAAUGCUAAUCAGCGCAGGGUUAGCCGGCCCCUAAGACGAGGCAGACAUGCGUAGUCGAUGGGAACUCAGUUUAAUAUUACUGGGCCAUUGGGUAGUGACGGAUUGCGUAUAUCGUAUCCCCUUAUUGGAUUGGGGGUGCGGUGAAGCAGUUCCAGGAAAUAGCUCCCAUUUAAGACCGUACCCCAAACCGACACAGGUGAUCAGGUAGAGCAUACCAAGGCGCUUGAGAGAACUCUGCUGAAGGAACUCGGCAAAUUACCUCCGUAACUUCGGGAGAAGGAGGCCCGCUUUUAAGGCAACUUUUAAGCGGGGGCACAGACCAGGGGGUGGCGACUGUUUAUUAAAAACAUAGGGCUCUGCGAAGUUGCAAAACGACGUAUAGGGUCUGACGCCUGCCCGGUGCUUGAAGGUUAAAUGGAGUGGUGAAAGCUGCGAAAUGAAGCCCAAGUAAACAGCGGCCGUAACUAUAACGGUCCUAAGGGAGCGAAAUUCCUUGUCGGGUAAGUUCCGACCUGCACGAAUGGCGUAACGACUUCCCCACUGUCUCCAGCAGAGACUCAGUGAAAUUGAAUUCCUCGUGAAGAUGCGAGGUACCCGCGGCUAGACGGAAAGACCCCAUGAACCUUUACUACAGCUUCACAGUGGCAUUUGUAAUGAUAUGUGUAGGAUAGGCGGGAGUCUUUGAAACCUGAGCGCCAGCUUGGGUGGAGACAACCUUGAAAUACCGCCCUUGUCCUUAUGGAUGUCUAACCGCGGUCCGUUAUCCGGAUCCGGGACCCUGUGUGGUGGGUAGUUUGACUGGGGCGGUCUCCUCCUAAAGAGUAACGGAGGAGCACGAAGG